GCGGCAUCAUACAAUCAAUAUUCAAGAAAUCAAAGCAACAGCCGGAAACGACUGCUAAUACCCGUAGGCUUAGGAGCAAAAGGAGAAAUCCGCCCGAGGAGGGGCUCGCGUUUGAUUAGCUAGUUGGUGAGGCAAUAACUUACCAAGGUGAUGAUCAGUAGCUGGUCCGAGAGAAUGAUCAGCCACAUUGGGACUGAGACACGACCCGAUAAUGUAGCAUU
rfam:Nicotiana attenuata strain TT chromosome 4, whole genome shotgun sequence.